rnacentral:tRNA from 1 species
GGAGGGGUGGGUGAGUGGCUGAAACCACCAGUUUGCUAAACUGGCGUACUCUAUUCGGGUACCGGGGGUUCGAAUCCCCCUCUCUCCG